rnacentral:rRNA from 1 species
GGGGGGGGGGGGGGGGGGGCGGAGGGGGGGGAGGGGGGGGGGGGGAGGGGGGGGGUGCUCCGCUGGCGGUGGGGGCGGGGGGGGGGGGAACACGGGGGUAACCUACCUAUAAGACUGGGAUAACUUCGGGAAACCGGAGCUAAUACCGGAUAAUAUAGUGAACCGCAUGGUUCAAUAGUGAAAGACGGUUUUGCUGUCACUUAUCGAUGGAUCCGCGCCGCAUUAGCUAGUUGGUAAGGUAACGGCUUACCAAGGCAACGAUGCGUAGCCGACCUGAGAGGGUGAUCGGCCACACUGGAACUGAGACACGGUCCAGACUCCUACGGGAGGCAGCAGUAGGGAAUCUUCCGCAAUGGGCGAAAGCCUGACGGAGCAACGCCGCGUGAGUGAUGAAGGUCUUCGGAUCGUAAAACUCUGUUAUUAGGGAAGAACAAAUGUGUAAGUAACUAUGCACGUCUUGACGGUACCUAAUCAGAAAGCCACGGCUAACUACGUG